CUCGUGGGGUCGACCAUGGAUAAAGCCAUGAGAGGAACGUUGAUCUUCGUCUGCUCGCUUGUUUUGCUUUCGUCUGUAUUGGCAGAGCAACCCUUGGUAGCGGAUGAUCGUCGUCAUCCCGAGCAGAAACCUCGGUCGAUGGUUCAUCGGAUUAUGAGCAGCGCGUCGUCACUCAACCGGGAAAAGCUUGCCACCCUCGCUCGCCAAGCCCACGCCUACUUCUUCCCCCCCGAACCUCGAUUUUAGGGGAGGACCGGGGGACGAUGGGAAAGGAGGUGGGGCGGCCAAGGAAGUGGGGGAGAAGGUGAGAGAGGCGGUGGCCAAAAGCUUGGAGAAGGGGAAGUCCGCGGUGGAGGGUUUGGCCAAAUCCGCCGCGAAGAUGGCGGAUGCGAGUGCCCACAAGGCGGCGGAGAAAGUCAAGAAGACGCUGUCAGAACUCUAGUCCCCUCAUUGUAAGAGAUGUCAUUGUUGGUUAUGCUAGUUUGAUGCAUCUUGGUGGGGGAGAGUCCUUUUGGGACACACAGUCAUGCGAUGAAGAUGGAAACUCGUCGACCAAGCACAGUGAUUAAGCAUGGAUCUGCUGCUGCAACAUGAGAUUGGUCCACUCCAGGCUGAUAAUUCCAUCUUUAAAUCGUGCAGACUUAUAACACGUUAUGAAAUGGACUUUGGGAAAUUCUGGGUAUGGUUCAGCCUACAUGGUUACUUGGAUAGGAAAACCUAAUCCCCAUGAAGUUUGUCUGCUAUGUUAAAUUGUAAUUUUCAAAGUUU